rnacentral:lncRNA from 1 species
UUGCAAGAGAAUUUCAAGAAAAACUUAAGGUAUGUUAUAAUUACAAGCUUAAAGAGAUGAAGCAGGACAUUAGGAUAAGAUUUGAAGUUAAUGUAAGGAUGAUUAAAAUGUCAAAUAAUUUUAGAGACUAUUAGAGGAUCUCAUAGCAAAUAUUAUGGUGGACUACUUGAUUACUAUGAAAGAUCAGAAGAAGUAACAAGGGGA